UAACUCUAAUGUCUCCUCAUCUGCGGAUAAAUCUUUCACCUUUUACUAAAGAUUUCCGUGGGAAGGCGCAAUAAAAUGAGUCUUGCCUCAACUUUUUCAGCUCUGUCUUCGGACGGAGU
rnacentral:snRNA from 1 species